rnacentral:rRNA from 2 species
AAAGCGGGGGACCUUCGGGCCUCGCGCUAUAGGGUUGGCCGAUGGCUGAUUAGCUAGUUGGUGGAGUAAAGGCCUACCAAGGCGACGAUCAGUAGCUGGUCUGAGAGGACGACCAGCCACACUGGGACUGAGACACGGCCCAGACUACUACGGGAGGCAGCAGUGGGGAAUUUUGGACAAUGGGCGAAAGCCUGAUCCAGCAAUGCCGCGUGUGUGAAGAAGGCCUUCGGGUUGUAAAGCACUUUUGUCCGGAAAGAAAUCCUUGGCUCUAAUACAGUCGGGGGAUGACGGUACCGGAAGAAUAAGCACCGGCUAACUACGUGCCAGCAGCCGCGGUAAUACGUAGGGUGCGAGCGUUAAUCGGAAUUACUGGGCGUAAAGCGUGCGCAGGCGGUUUGUUAAGACCGAUGUGAAAUCCCCGGGCUCAACCUGGGAACUGCAUUGGUGACUGGCAAGCUAGAGUAUGGCAGAGGGGGGUAGAAUUCCACGUGUAGCAGUGAAAUGCGUAGAGAUGUGGAGGAAUACCGAUGGCGAAGGCAGCCCCCUGGGCCAAUACUGACGCUCAUGCACGAAAGCGUGGGGAGCAAACAGGAUUAGAUACCCUGGUAGUCCACGCCCUAAACGAUGUCAACUAGUUGUUGGGGAUUCAUUUCCUUAGUAACGUAGCUAACGCGUGAAGUUGACCGCCUGGGGAGUACGGUCGCAAGAUUAAAACUCAAAGGAAUUGACGGGGACCCGCACAAGCGGUGGAUGAUGUGGAUUAAUUCGAUGCAACGCGAAAAACCUUACCUACCCUUGACAUGGUCGGAAUCCUGCUGAGAGGUGGGAGUGCUCGAAAGAGAACCGAUACACAGGUGCUGCAUGGCUGUCGUCAGCUCGUGUCGUGAGAUGUUGGGUUAAGUCCCGCAACGAGCGCAACCCUUGUCCUUAGUUGCUACGCAAGAGCACUCUAAGGAGACUGCCGGUGACAAACCGGAGGAAGGUGGGGAUGACGUCAAGUCCUCAUGGCCCUUAUGGGUAGGGCUUCACACGUCAUACAAUGGUCGGAACAGAGGGUUGCCAACCCGCGAGGGGGAGCUAAUCCCAGAAAACCGAUCGUAGUCCGGAUUGCACUCUGCAACUCGAGUGCAUGAAGCUGG